UGUAUACCAAUAUAUCUGAUUUAAAAAAAAUGGAAUAGUUACUUUAGCCAAUUUUAGACAUCAAAUUUUGUUCUUGUAUAUAAGAGACUGGUUUGCUUUCUGUACUUUUCAGUUACAACAAAUUUCUAUUAUUGUUUUGAUUUUUUUUUUAUUUUAUCAUUUAAACUUUUAUAUUCUUUUUGCUGAGAUUAGGAAAUGAUGGAAACUUGAUAUUUCUCUUGAUAUUUUCUGUCACACCUCAUUACUUUGGCAGUUAUUUUCCAAACCACUGCUGUAAAAAUAAUUUUGCUGUAAAGCAAGCACAACUGUUUUUCAUUUGCUAAUGUAUAUAAAAAGUCAAGUGCUAGCAUCUGACUUAUUGUCUGCGAGAUGGUCACAUUUAAAGCAUUCACAUAUCACAUUGGAGGAUCUAUGUUCAAUUCUGGGUUUUACAAUUUUAAUUUCUCAGGAUAAAAUACAUAUUAACACAGACAGGCCAGACCUGGGUCCCUGUCCCAUCUGUAUUAAUUUGUUUUAUAUAUGUGUUCUAAGUAUUAUUUUGCAGAUAAUUUUCAUUUUGAAAUAUAAAAGUAAAGGCAUAGAUUAUAAUUGAGAAGUGCCAUAUUAGUUAGCCACAAGAUGUGUUUUUACUUUGAUUAGAUUGUAAUAUAGAGAAACACAAAUGGCUAAUGUUCUGUUCUCUCUCUAGCUUUCUGUAUUGUGAUAUUUCAAUGCUAUAAAUCUAGAAUUUUGUCUAAAGGUUAUAUUUAUUCAUUCCAAUAAUGAACUAGAUUUGGAAAAUUUUUAAAAUUAUAAGAGUGUCUAAUACAAAUAAUUCAACAAGCACUUUAU
rnacentral:lncRNA from 1 species